AACGCUGGCGGCGUGCCUAACACAUGCAAGUCAACUUGACUGAAGAGCAAUCUGACAGUAGAGUGGCGCAAGGGUGCGUAACGCGUAGUAACUUGCCCCAAGGUAAGGAAUAACGUCGAGAAAUCGGCGCUAAUACCUCAUAAUGGCAGCGGAUCCGCAUGGAUAUGUUGUUAAAGGUUUACCGCCUUGGGAUAGGCUUGCGUCUGAUUAGUUAGUUGGUGUGGUAACGGCACACCAAGGCUACGAUCAGUAACUGGUCUGAGAGGAUGAUCAGUCACACUGGAACUGAGACACGGUCCAGACUCCUACGGGAGGCAGCAGUGAGGAAUAUUGGGCAAUGCUCGAAAGAGUGACCCAGCAACGCCGCGUGGAGGAUGAAGGUAUUCUAUAUUCGUAAACUCCUGUGAGAGCAGACGAAAGACAGAUUAUUAAUCUGGAUGACUGUAUGCUCAGAGGAAGCCCCGGCUAACUACGUG
rnacentral:rRNA from 1 species